AUACGGAGGGUGCAAGCGUUACUCGGAAUCACUGGGCGUAAAGCGCGCGCAGGCGGGCUGAUAAGUUGGAUGUGAAAGCCUACGGCUCAACCGUAGAACUGCAUCCAAAACUGUCAGUCUAGAGUCUGGGAGGGGAAGAUGGAAUUAGUUGUGUAGGGGUAAAAUCCGUAGAGAUAACUAGGAAUACCAAAAGCGAAGGCGAUCUUCUGGAACAGUACUGACGCUGAGGCGCGAAAGCGAGGGGAGCAAACAGGAUUAGAUACCCUAGUAGUCC
rnacentral:rRNA from 1 species